rnacentral:rRNA from 1 species
GACGAACGCUGGCGGCGUGCUUAACACAUGCAAGUCGAACGGAAAGGCCCUUCGGGGUACUCGAGUGGCGAACGGGUGAGUAACACGUGGGUGAUCUGCCCUGCACUUUGGGAUAAGCCUGGGAAACUGGGUCUAAUACCGAAUAGGACCACGCGCUUCAUGGUGUGUGGUGGAAAGCUUUUGCGGUGUGGGAUGGGCCCGCGGCCUAUCAGCUUGUUGGUGGGGUAAUGGCCUACCAAGGCGACGACGGGUAGCCGGCCUGAGAGGGUGACCGGCCACACUGGGACUGAGAUACGGCCCAGACUCCUACGGGAGGCAGCAGUGGGGAAUAUUGCACAAUGGGCGCAAGCCUGAUGCAGCGACGCCGCGUGAGGGAUGACGGCCUUCGGGUUGUAAACCUCUUUCAAUAGGGACGAAGCGCAAGUGACGGUACCUAUAGAAGAAGCACCGGCCAACUACGUGCCAGCAGCCGCGGUAAUACGUAGGGUGCGAGCGUUGUCCGGAAUUACUGGGCGUAAAGAGCUCGUAGGUGGUUUGUCGCGUUGUUCGUGAAAACUCACAGCUUAACUGUGGGCGUGCGGGCGAUACGGGCAGACUAGAGUACUGCAGGGGAGACUGGAAUUCCUGGUGUAGCGGUGGAAUGCGCAGAUAUCAGGAGGAACACCGGUGGCGAAGGCGGGUCUCUGGGCAGUAACUGACGCUGAGGAGCGAAAGCGUGGGGAGCGAACAGGAUUAGAUACCCUGGUAGUCCACGCCGUAAACGGUGGGUACUAGGUGUGGGUUCCUUCCUUGGGAUCCGUGCCGUAGCUAACGCAUUAAGUACCCCGCCUGGGGAGUACGGCCGCAAGGCUAAAACUCAAAGGAAUUGACGGGGGCCCGCACGAGCGGCGGAGCAUGUGGAUUAAUUCGAUGCAACGCGAAGAACCUUACCUGGGUUUGACAUGCACAGGACGCCGGCAGAGAUGUCGGUUCCCUUGUGGCCUGUGUGCAGGUGGUGCAUGGCUGUCGUCAGCUCGUGUCGUGAGAUGUUGGGUUAAGUCCCGCAACGAGCGCAACCCUUGUCCUAUGUUGCCAGCGGGUUAUGCCGGGGACUCGUAGGAGACUGCCGGGGUCAACUCGGAGGAAGGUGGGGAUGACGUCAAGUCAUCAUGCCCCUUAUGUCCAGGGCUUCACACAUGCUACAAUGGCCGGUACAAAGGGCUGCGAUGCCGUGAGGUGGAGCGAAUCCUUUCAAAGCCGGUCUCAGUUCGGAUCGGGGUCUGCAACUCGACCCCGUGAAGUCGGAGUCGCUAGUAAUCGCAGAUCAGCAACGCUGCGGUGAAUACGUUCCCGGGCCU